rnacentral:rRNA from 1 species
GUGGGGAAUAUUGGACAAUGGGCGAAAGCCUGAUCCAGCCAUGCCGCGUGUGUGAAGAAGGUCUUCGGAUUGUAAAGCACUUUAAGUUGGGAGGAAGGGCAGUAAGUUAAUACCUUGCUGUUUUGACGUUACCGACAGAAUAAGCACCGGCUAACUUCGUGCCAGCAGCCGCGGUAAUACGAAGGGUGCAAGCGUUAAUCGGAAUUACUGGGCGUAAAGCGCGCGUAGGUGGUUUUGUAAGUUGGAGGUGAAAUCCCCGGGCUCAACCUGGGAACUGCCUCCAAAACUGCAUGACUAGAGUACGGUAGAGGGUAGUGGAAUUUCCUGUGUAGCGGUGAAAUGCGUAGAUAUAGGAAGGAACACCAGUGGCGAAGGCGACUACCUGGACUGAUACUGACACUGAGGUGCGAAAGCGUGGGGAGCAAACAGGAUUAGAUACCCUCGUAGUCC